AUCCGUCAGUAGGCUACAAGGUCAUGAAGUAUUCAAUUAAAGGCGACUUGUUUUAAGUUAAGGCACAAAGAUGAGUUUUGAAUUUAGAUUUAAAGGACUCUUUAAUCUUAUCAACCUUAUUGCAGAAAAAGUCUAGAAACUCAUGAGCCAUGACAGACCAUUAGUUGAAAGCUCCCAUCAUUUCUAAAAGACUCUGGGCACUUCAUAACUCAACUCUCUGAAGUGACAUACCACGGUGGCGAUCUUCUCCUGCCCACUAUGGAUGUCGCCAGCCUUUAUACCAAUAUUCCACACUCAUCAGAGCAAAGGAUGUUCAGGACACUCUGGUACACCCACACACAGACAACAAAUCCGUCUGCCAGGGAUGUUUGGACGAUGCCGUCGUUUUUUCCCUUUUGAAAUUGUGCUGCAUGUCCUAAUUGUAAAAAGGUCAACACAAAAAGAGUACAAAAUUAAAAAAUUGGUCACAUGCAUCUCUAGUGCUGUUAUCUACCUUCUUGCAUGUACCAAAUGUGGCAUCCAAUA